rnacentral:rRNA from 1 species
UACGUAGGGUGCGAGCGUUAAUCGGAAUUACUGGGCGUAAAGCGUGCGCAGGCGGUUCUCCAAGUCCGUUGUGAAAGCCCCGGGUUCAACCUGGGAAUGGCAGUGGAAACUAGGGGACUGGAAUCUGGCAGAGGGGGGUGGAAUGCCGCGUGUAGCAGUGAAAUGCGUAGAGAUGCGGCGGAACACCGAUGGCGAAGGCAGCCCCCUGGGCUGAGAUUGACGCUCAGGCACGAAAGCGUGGGGAGCGAACAGG